CGGGGACGGGAGGGAAGACGCCGUGUGUGUUGCCGUAGGAUUUUUCCACUUUGAGACCUAUCAGGACCAGUUGCUACGGUUCGGGCGGCGGUGGCCGCGAUGCGGCGGGAGGGGGGAAGAGGGCAUCUCCCUCCAAAAGUCGAGCAACAAAUGGCAGCGGUGGCGGCAGCCGGGCUGCAGGACAGUCGCGGUGCCCGCUGCGCCCAGAUACUGAGCUUGUUGUGGUCAGUUGAUGCAGAGGUAGCCUGACUGCAGAGGUGGAAAGUUUGUGGUCGUGAAGAUUGGAGAUUGGUGAGAGGCUUAUGCAAAAUCAUAAUGAAAACACCUUGAGGAUGGAUGUUAUUUGUACUGAUUUGAACAGAGGAUAUUUCCAGAUGGGAAGUGAGGGGAAAUGUGACAUCUUCUCCCUUGUGAGUGAGGUUUCCAAAGGGCUGAAAAGCAAGGAAAAUGGAAAGCAAAAAGUGAAGUUGUCAGGUGGAGAAGAAAAGCAUCGUCCAUGGAUCUGGACUGUUUAGAAAAGAAAUGUAGAGUUAACAUCUGAAAUCUGAUGUGGUCUUCCUUUCCAGAAAAAAAUACUGUUUCUGGCAUUCAUGUUGGGAGAGAGGAG
rnacentral:lncRNA from 1 species